AGUGAACGCUGGCGGUAGGCCUAACACAUGCAAGUCGAACGGCGGCACAGUAAGAGCUUGCUCUUACGGGUGGCGAGUGGCGGACGGGUGAGGAAUACAUCGGAAUCUACUUUUUCGUGGGGGAUAACGUAGGGAAACUUACGCUAAUACCGCAUACGACCUACGGGUGAAAGCAGGGGAUCUUCGGACCUUGCGCGAUUGAAUGAGCCGAUGUCGGAUUAGCUAGUUGGCGGGGUAAAGGCCCACCAAGGCGACGAUCCGUAGCUGGUCUGAGAGGAUGAUAGGCCACACUGGAACUGAGACACGGUCCAGACUCCUACGGGAGGCAGCAGUAGGGAAUAUUGGGCAAUGGGCGCAAGCCUGACGGAGCAAUACCGCGUGAGUGAAGAAGGCCUUCGGAUUGUAAAACCCUGUUAUUAGGGAAGAAAAGAAGCGUAUGAAAACGUGGAUAUUCUGACGGUACCUAAUGAGUAAGCAACGGCUAACUUCGUG
rnacentral:rRNA from 1 species